rnacentral:rRNA from 1 species
CCUACGGGCGGCAGCAGUGGGGAAUAUUGGACAAUGGGGGGAACCCUGAUCCAGCCAUGCCGCGUGUGUGAAUAAGGCCCUCGGGUUGUAAAGCACUUUCAGUGAGGAAGAACGCCUGGUGGUUAAUACCCAUCAGGAAAGACAUCACUCACAGAAGAAGCACCGGCUAACUCCUGCCAGCAGCCGCGGUAAUACGGAGGGUGCGAGCGUUAAUCGGAAUUACUGGGCGUAAAGCGCGCGUAGGUGGCUUGAUAAGCCGGUUGUGAAAGCCCCGGGCUCAACCUGGGAACGGCAUCCGGAACUGUCAAGCUAGAGUGAAGGAGAGGAAGGUAGAAUUCCCGGUGUAGCGGUGAAAUGCGUAGAGAUCGGGAGGAAUACCAGUGGCGAAGGCGGCCUUCUGGACUGACACUGACACUGAGGUGCGAAAGCGUGGGUAGCAAACAGGAUUAGAUACCCUAGUAGUC